rnacentral:rRNA from 1 species
AUUGAACGCUAGCGGGAUGCCUUACACAUGCAAGUCGAACGGCGUGGCGAACGGGUAAGUAAUGUAUCGGAACGUGCCCAGUCGCGGGGGAUAACUACGCGAAAGCGUAGCUAAUACCGCAUACUAUUGGAGCGGCCGGAAUCGGAUGAGCUAGUGGGUGGGGUAACGGCUAACCCAGGCGACGGUCCGUAGCUGGCUUGAGAGGACGACCAGCCACACUGGGACUGAGACACGGCCCAGACUCCGACGGGAGGCAGCAGUGGGGAAUGUGGGACAAUGGGGGAAACCCUGAUCCAGCCAUCCCGCGUGUGCGAUGAAGGCCUUCGGGUUGUAAAGUACUUUUGGCAGGAAAGCGGUACCUGCAGAAUAAGCACCGGCUAACUACGUGCCAGCAGCCGCGGUAAUAC